UACAGAGGUCUCAAGCGUUGUUCGGAUUCAUUGGGCGUAAAGGGUGCGUAGGCGGCGCGGUAAGUCGGGUGUGAAAUCUCGGGGCUUAACUCCGAAACUGCAUUCGAUACUGCCGUGCUUGAGGACUGGAGAGGAGACUGGAAUUUACGGUGUAGCGGUGAAAUGCGUAGAUAUCGUAAGGAAGACCAGUGGCGAAGGCGAGUCUCUGGACAGUUCCUGACGCUGAGGCACGAAGGCCAGGGGAGCAAACGGG
rnacentral:rRNA from 1 species